GAUGAACGCUGGCGGCGUGCCUAAUACAUGCAAGUCGAGCGAACAGACGAGAAGCUUGCUUCUCUGAUGUUAGCGGCGGACGGGUGAGUAACACGUGGAUAACCUACCUAUAAGACUGGGAUAACUUCGGGAAACCGGAGCUAAUACCGGAUGAUAUUUUGAACCGCAUGGUUCAAAAGUGAAAGACGGUCUUGCUGUCACUUAUAGAUGGAUCCGCGCUGCAUUAGCUAGUUGGUAAGGUAACGGCUUACCAAGGCAACGAUGCAUAGCCGACCUGAGAGGGUGAUCGGCCACACUGGAACUGAGACACGGUCCAGACUCCUACGGGAGGCAGCAGUAGGGAAUCUUCCGCAAUGGGCGAAAGCCUGACGGAGCAACGCCGCGUGAGUGAUGAAGGUCUUCGGAUCGUAAAACUCUGUUAUUAGGGAAGAACAUAUGUGUAAGUAACUGUGCACAUCUUGACGGUACCUAAUCAGAAAGCCACGGCUAACUACGUG
rnacentral:rRNA from 1 species